AACGGCAUGAUCCUUGUAGGACU
rnacentral:piRNA from 1 species